GCUGGGAUAGCUCAGUCGGUAGAGCACUUGCCCUGGAAAGGCAAAAGUCUCGAGUUCGAGUCUCGGCCCAGCA